rnacentral:rRNA from 1 species
AUACGGAGGAUCCGAGCGUUAUCCGGAUUUAUUGGGUUUAAAGGGUGCGCAGGCGGCCAUUUAAGUCAGCGGUUAAAUCGUGGGGCUCAACCCCAUUCUGCCGUUGAUACUGGGUGGCUUGAUUGCGGUCGAGGUUGGCGGAAUUCGUUGUGUAGCGGUGAAAUGCAUAGAUAUGACGAAGAACACCGAUUGCGUAGGCAGCUGGCCAGACCGCAAAUGGCGCUCAUGCUCGAAAGUGCGGGGAUCGAACAGGAUUAGAUACCCUGGUAGUCCGCACAGUAAACGAUGAAUGCGUGGUUUCGGCGAUAUAAUGUCGGAGGCAAAGCGAAAGCGAUAAGUGUUCCACCUGGGGAGUGCGCGGGCAACGGUGAAACUCAAAUGAAUUGACGGGG